GGACUAAAGGCGUGCACCACCACGCCCGGCGACCUGUUUGUCUAUGUGAGUGUCUCCUCCCCUCUUCCCACUCCAUGUACAUGGCUUCCAGAACUACAUGCCUGUUUGGUCAAAGAAGAUGACCUUCCCCUAAGAGAGAAGGACACCGUCUUUGAUAAAGGUUGAGGGAAUAGCUAUGUCACCCUGCUAGAACCUCCAAACAAGCCAAGCCUCCAUAGCGGGUCCCGAGAAAGGCAGGGAGAGAGGAAGAAAAAGAAAAGAAGGAGAAAUAAAAGAGAAAGAGUUU
ensembl:misc_RNA predicted gene, 22803